ensembl:lncRNA
GGGAGGCUGGAGGGGGUGGGUGAGGACAGAGGGGAUGUCUGGCUUCUGUCACCCACAGGCACUGCUGCGGGGGUGAAAGGGGGCCCGAGUGUCCCCCACCGCUUGCAGAAAGGAAGCCCCCUCCCUCAAGGGGGUGCCCCUGCACCCGCUGCCCAGGUGUGGGGAUGCUAGCCGCUGUGCGGGCAAAGACCCAGGCUCAGAAGGCAUCACGGUCGCUGCGCCUCGGCAGCUGUGCUCUGCCAGCCGCCCACCACCUCACCUGGGGCCUGUCCAGGUCCCCUGAGACCACGGGCAGGUGACGCUGCCUGGUGGGGGUGGGAACCAGACUUGAGUUUCUGGGUCUCAUCGGAGCUAGUCUGAGAGGCACUGCGGAAGAAAGCAAGCGCUUUCUGUUAAAGGGUGGUGGGAGCCCUGGGAGGCCUGGGUCCUGACCCCCUGCUGCCCGUCAGUGCGGGGCAGGGCUGCUGGCCGCAGGUGUGGGGGCCUCCUGCCUGUUGGGGCCAGACGCAGCCUCCUGUUCCACCUGGGGCCGUUGGGGACCCCUCGCCCGACUUGCUGCUUCUGUGCCCGUCACUGCUCAUGUGGCAUCAUAAACGAUGCGGGGCACGCUGCUGCUCGGCCGUACAGCCUGGCACGCACUCGGUGUUGGGGGAGGAAUCGGCCCCCCGACCUGGAGCCUGCUCCGCCCCCAGCCUGGCCAGGACUGCGACGACUCUGCCUCCCCUCGUGACGCCCACUCGAUGCUCCUGCUGGCCCAGUGGAACAGCUCACCACGUUCAGCCAGGGGGUCUGAGGGCUCCUCAGCCAUCGUUUCAGGCAGACGAGCAUGUUUGGAGCCUCAGUCUCGUAUUUCUAAUGAUGGAGCCUCAGUCUCGUAUUUCUACUGAGCGCUUAUCGAGCUCACAGCUCUUGCAGACGGCCCAUCAGGCCCCUGCCUCCCCUUCACGGCGUUUCCUCUCCUGCUUCGCGCCCUCCGAGCUGGCUUUGCCUUUGCCCAGCGGAUUAGCGCGGCAGCUCCCGUCGGCCGAGGCGUGACGGGGCUGCAGCUGCACGAGGUGGGGUGAGGGCCCCGGGCGCGUUAGCGUCAGCCCUGAGUUUUGCCCACGUCGAAGCAUCAGGCCAUCCUGGGUCGCAAGACGUUAAUGAGCACCACCGCUUGUUUCUUUUCUUGCCUGGCAUUUUAAUAAAGGUAAUAGUGUAUUAUUUCCCAAU